CCACCUUGGCUUUCUUUUUGGCCUCUCUAUCCCUUUUUACACAAGCAAGUGCUUCUGCAAUUGUGCUUGAUGAUGGAGAUAAGGUACCAACAGCAGUUGAUACAACAGAGGUUACAACACCUAUUUUGGGAGGUGGUUUUUGAACAGACUUUGAACGCCUGACCGGAAUGGAUUUGGGUAGCCUUACUUUUCUAGUAGGCUUCUUC
rnacentral:lncRNA from 1 species